rnacentral:rRNA from 1 species
GCUCAGUAACACGUGGACAACGUACCCUAAAGUGGAGCAUAAUCUCGGGAAACUGAGGAUAAUUCUCCAUAGACCAUGAGAUCUGGAAUGACUUAUGGUUCAAAGUUCCGGCGCUUUAGGAUCGGUCUGCGGCCUAUCAGGUAGUAGUGGGUGUAACGUACCCCCUAGCCGUUGACGGGUAUGGGCCUUGAGAGAGGGAGCCCAGAGUUGGAUUCUGAGACACGAAUCCAGGCCCUACGGGGCGCAGCAGUCGCGAAAACUUCACAAUGGGCGAAAGCCCGAUGAGGGAAUUCCUAGUGCUAGCACUUUUGUGCUAGCUUUUCUUCAGCGUAGAUAACUGGAGGAAUAAGGGCUGGGUAAGACGGGUGCCAGCCGCCGCGGUAAUACCCGCAGCCCGAGUGGUGGUCGAUUUUAUUGAGUCUAAAACGUUCGUAGCCGGUCUAAUAAAUCCUUGGGUAAAUCGGAAGGCUUAACUUUCCGAAUUCCGAGGAGACUGUUAGGCUUGGGAUCGGGAGAGGUAAGAGGUACUUCAGGGGUAGGGGUAAAAUCCUGUAAUCCUUGGAGGACCACCGGUGGCGAAGGCGUCUUACUAGAACGAAUCCGACGGUGAGGGACGAAGCCCUAGGUCGCAAACGGGAUUAGAUACCCCGGUAGUCUAGGGUGUAAACGCUGCAGACUUGGUGUUGGGGGCCCUUCGGGGGCAUUCAGUGCCGGAGAGAAGUUGUUAAGUCUGCUACUUGGGGAGUACGUC